rnacentral:RNase_P_RNA from 7 species
GGAGCUGGCCGGGCAGCCGCUUGCUUGUGUUCGCGCAGGCGAGAGGAAAGUCCGGGUACCACAGGGCAGGAUGCUUCCUAACGGGAAGGCAGGGCGACCUGCGGAAAGUGCCACAGAAAAUAUACCACCUCCUGAAGCGCCGGGCUUGCCCGAACGUGUCAAGAGGUAAGGGUGAAAUGGCGGGGUAAGAGCCCACCGCCCUGACGGCAACGCCAGGGGCACGGCAAACCCCAUCCGGUACAAGACCAAGUAAAGGGGGAUGAGGCUGCCCGCUUCGCCAUUACCCCAGGGUAGGUUGCUUGAGGUCCGCCGUGAGGCGGAUCCCAGACAGAUGGCUGCACAAAUACAGAACCCGGCUUACAGGCCCGCUCCUUUU